rnacentral:pre_miRNA from 1 species
ACAUGAAUCAUGUAGCAACAUUGUUAAAAUAUGGAUUCUGAUUCAGUAAGGCUGGGGUGGAGGCCAAGAGCCCACAUUUCUAACAAACUUCCAGGUGAAGUUUGU